CUACGGGUCGCAGCAGUGGGGAAUAUUGCACAAUGGGCGCAAGCCUGAUGCAGCCAUGCCGCGUGUAUGAAGAAGGCCUUCGGGUUGUAAAGUACUUUCAGCGGGGAGGAGGGGAGUAAAGUUAAUACCUUUGCUCAUUGACGUUACCCGCAGAAGAAGCACCGGCUAACUCCGUGCCAGCAGCCGCGGUAAUACGGAGGGUGCAAGUGUGUAAUCGGAAUUACUGGGCGUAAAGCGCACGCAGGCGGUUUGUUAAGUCAGAUGUGAAAUCCCCGGGCUCAACCUGGGAACUGCAUCUGAUACUGGCAAGCUUGAGUCUCGUAGAGGGGGGUAGAAUUCCAGGUGUAGCGGUGAAAUGCGUAGAGAUCUGGAGGAAUACCGGUGGCGAAGGCGGCCCCCUGGACGAAGACUGACGCUCAGGUGCGAAAGCGUGGGGAGCAAACAGGAUUAGAUACCCUAGUAGUC
rnacentral:rRNA from 1 species